CAGAUCUACAGAAUCCAUUUGGUUAUGAGAAGUUAUCCCACAACAUUACAGACAGGGGUACCCUGUGAAGCUGGUUGUUUUUAUGGUUGGGAUGCUUAAAAGUCUAAAUUUCAAACCCUGACGGAAGACUAAUGAAUGCGCUGGAGAAACA